ACGGCAGCACGGAGCUUGCUCUGGUGGCGAGUGGCGAACGGGUGAGUAAUAUAUCGGAACGUACCCUGGAGUGGGGGAUAACGUAGCGAAAGUUACGCUAAUACCGCAUACGAUCUAAGGAUGAAAGUGGGGGAUUCGCAAGAACCUCAUGCUCGUGGAGCGGCCGAUAUCUGAUUAGCUAGUUGGUAGGGUAAAAGCCUACCAAGGCAUCGAUCAGUAGCUGGUCUGAGAGGACGACCAGCCACACUGGAACUGAGACACGGUCCAGACUCCUACGGGAGGCAGCAGUGGGGAAUUUUGGACAAUGGGCGCGAGCCUGAUCCAGCAAUGCCGCGUGAGUGAAGAAGGCCUUCGGGUUGUAAAGCUCUUUUGUCAGGGAAGAAACGGUGGGAGCUAAUAUCUCCUGCUAAUGACGGUACCUGAAGAAUAAGCACCGGCUAACUACGUGCCAGCAGCCGCGGUAAUACGUAGGGUGCAAGCGUUAAUCGGAAUUACUGGGCGUAAAGCGUGCGCAGGCGGUUUUGUAAGUCUGAUGUGAAAUCCCCGGGCUCAACCUGGGAAUUGCAUUGGAGACUGCAAGGCUAGAAUCUGGCAGAGGGGGGGUAGAAUUC
rnacentral:rRNA from 1 species